rnacentral:piRNA from 1 species
ACAAGGGAAUAUCCUCAAUGUGGACUUUGU